GAUGAACGCUGGCGGCGUGCCUAACACAUGCAAGUCGAACGGAGAUUUAACGCUGAUGAGGCUUCGGCGGAUUCUUGUUAAAUCUUAGUGGCGGACGGGUGAGUAACGCGUGGGCAACCUGCCUCAUACUGGGGGAUAACAGCUGGAAACGACUGUUAAUACCGCAUAAGCGCACAGCACCGCAUGGUGCAGUGUGAAAAACUCCGGUGGUAUGAGAUGGACCCGCGUCUGAUUAGCUAGUUGGCGAGGUAACGGCCCACCAAGGCAACGAUCAGUAGCCGGCCUGAGAGGGUGUACGGCCACAUUGGGACUGAGACACGGCCCAAACUCC
rnacentral:rRNA from 1 species